ACAGAAACCACUUUGAUGAUUGAUUACAAAAUGUUCAAAAAAAUCGCUAGGCAGUAACUAGGCUUUCAUUCUGUUAUACUAAGCAUAAUGUUGCAGAUGUUGAUGGCCAAACUCGGUUUGUGAAAGGGUCUGACUUUACAAUACUGCAGCAACGACUCGCCUUCUCAUAUGUUUCCUCAUUGACACUUUGGUGGUCUCGUACUUGUCGUUAUGGGGACGACGCAGCAGCAACGCUUAUGGGUCUUCUAAACUCAAGGGAUAUGUCAUAGUGGUCACUGCUGUCAAUCCAAAAAUAUUUGGAGAUUGAAGAUAACGCACCUUUACAUCUUUCGGUCUUCAAAUCCCGGAACACCCGGUCUCUGAGAAUGGACAAAUGAUUGAAGACUAACAUUCCGUUCGUCAUUGCAAAUCAUCACAACUUUUAGAACAUUGUAUCUAUAUUUUUUGGGAUGAAGAACACGACACCUUCCAAGAGGAACAUGGAGAAGAUAACUAUGGUCACCUAAGAGCCUCCAAAGAGGAUAUCUAGAGUUGUCUUUCCUCCAGUGGAUUAGCUUAUACAUAAGCUCGAAAGCAAAGUUCAUUUAGAUUGAAGAACAUUAUUAAUGUUUUCAUCCCUUUCUGCUAUACAUAAUCUUCUUUCUUUUUAUGUACGAAUUUUUUACAUCGUAAGACACAUUGUGAUUUUACAAUUACACACAGGAGCACAUUCCACUUGACAGACACUUUA